CCUACGGGAGGCAGCAGUAGGGAAUCUUCCACAAUGGACGCAAGUCUGAUGGAGCAACGCCGCGUGAGUGAAGAAGGUUUUCGGAUCGUAAAGCUCUGUUGUUGGUGAAGAAAGAUAGUGAGAGUAACUGCUCAUUAUUUGCCGGUAAUCAACCAGAAAGUCACGGCUAACUACGUGCCAGCAGCCGCGGUAA
rnacentral:rRNA from 1 species